GUCAUUUUGCUCAAAGGAAAAAGUGCCUUCCAUCAUUUUUGACACACACGACAGAGUCUAGAAUCUGCUCUCGUCUUCCGUCUCUUCUAUUCCAACCGAUGGAGGAGUUUCAGUUCGCCUUCUUCAAACUUUCAACAAUACUCGUAGCUCUUUUCGUCUUCUUAUCUAUCUAUUAGAUUUCAGGCAUUAUUCGCUCAAUCCUUGCUCGCAUCUUCUUUGUUUUCUCUUUGUCUUCUUUUCUUUCUUUGCUACUUUUAGAUCUAUUUAACUGUUUUCAAUUUCAUGGAUAAAUUUCCUUGGAUUUUGUAUUUUCCAACCAGAUGAUGCGGAAUUACCAUUUUAAGGGCUAUUCUCCGUCCAAUUUCAUUGAUGUUGCCUUCUUCUUGCUGAUUCACCUCUAUCUCUUCUUCUUCAUAAGGUAUUGAAAUUUAUUGUUCUACUAACUUAAAACAAAAAGGAUAUUUAAUUUUACUCCUAAUUCAUGUUGUUCUUCCUUUUCUUUACAUUUUUUGUAUAUGUUAUAUUUCUAUGAAUUGUGAAUCGCGAGUAUGUUUUCAGGCUCUUCUUAACUGCCUCUGCGCACACCCCUCACUCUCCAUAGCCGAGGAAAAGAACAGUAAGAACUCAUGAUAACCUAAUUUUGAUAAAGCACUAAAAUUGGUGUAUGGGUUGAGAUUGAAAUAAAGUGAAUGAAUUAAGUCAAAUGGCUAUUGGGAAAAAUUUAUGCAUAUAAAUUUCUAUUGACAGAUUUUAUUCAUUAUUUCAUGUCUUAGGAAUGCUUAAUUAGGCUUAAGAUGAUUUGGGAACUUUUCUUAAAAGUUGUGUUCGAGCAACAUCUGAUUGUUUAAACUUAAAUUCAUUUAUCUGGCUACAAAUUUAUGGAAUAAGGAAGGUAUGUUAAAGGGCAUGUAAUGGGAUUGCUUUAUAUGAUGACUCAUUGUUGUUGAUGGGAUUUGAAAGUAGAGGAAUAUUUAAAAGUAGAGGAGUAGGAAGUAGAGCACCGAGGAUUGAUAAAGAUUGUAUGAAGUUGCAAGACACUAAUGGUCCAGAAAAAGGACGAGAAAAUAGCACAGAUAUCCAAAACUUUAAGAAGCAGACAAGAGGAAUAGAGAUGUAAGGACAUGUAUAAGAGGAUACCUAAGCCAAGGAAGUAGCUUAAUUUUUUUUAUUUUUUUAUUCCUUGUUUAUUGGCAUCCACUGAUACAAUGUGUGUUCAACUAUAAAUUAUAGUUGUUUGUCUUAUUGGAAAUUCUCAUUCACCCAUCUUUAAGCCUAAUUUGUCUUAUUUUCUACUGAUAUGUCCAUGUCUUAUUAUCAACAUAUGUUAUCUUCACCUAUACUUUCUUAUUAUUCUCUACUUUUAUGCAAUUUUAUUAGAAUAUUCUUUAAGUUUGUAUUUUAUUAAGAUAUUUUGUCCAAAAGUAUAAGUGACGGAUGGAUCUUUCCAUCUUGCAUACUUGACUGAUUGAUUCACUUGGUUACUUCUUGACAAUUGGUUUUUUCUCCUGUUAGUUCAGUACCGAAUGCAUAUGGAUUAUCAGGUUUGUAUAUUUAUCAGUGGAAAAUAUUAUUGCAUUCAUAAAUACACUUUGUUUUAACAUAAAUAUAGCAUGUAUUAAAACAUUCUUCCAUGAUGAUUACUUUCAACUUUUACAAAUUAAAACUAUUACAGGAACCUAGAAAAAGGAUUAUUUUCAAGGUCAUGAAAGAGUACUCAAAGGUCCUCCUCCAUCACUUCAAGUGGCAAAGGCUGUGAACUAUUUAACUUGGUACCCUUCUUUUUAUCCAUCAAGGCCUCUACAUGCUGCUCUUUACUUCCUUUUUGGGUGUAAGUUUUUUUUUCUUCAUAUUUAUGUUUAUCAUUGUGAUUAUUGAUGGUAAGGCCCAGCUCUCUUCGCAUUCAGUUUCUUAAAUCAAUUGGUGUGUUUGCUUUUGUGCUUUUAAUUUAUUUCAUCACUUUCAAGUUGUAGUUACAAGUUCAAAGAUCAAUUGAUUUUUUUUUAAUAUUCCGGAACAUAUGAUGACUAAUAGCUUGUUUGGCCAAGCUGCAAAAAUUAACUUAUUUUGAGAAGUGUUUUUUCUCAAAAGUGCUUUUUUCAAAAGUAUUUUUUGGUGAGAAUCAGUUUGUGUUUGGCUAAUUAAUUUGAAAAGCACUUCUGAGCAGCAAUUAGUAUUUGGCCAAGUUUUUAAAAACUGCUUCUAAGUGUAUUUUUCUUAAAAGUGCUUUUCAAAAAAGUGCUUUUGGAGAGAAGCUACUUUUUUCUGCUUCUCCAAAACUGCUUCUGCUUCUCCUCAAAAGCACUUUUCUUUCUUCAAAAAGCUUGGUCAAACACUUUAACUUUGAAAAAAAAGUACUUCUUUUAAAAAGAAAAGUGCUUUUGGCUUUGGAGAAGCUGGGCCAAACAGGCGAUAAGUCUAGCAUUCAAAAACUUUCCUCUUAGUUAGAAAAGGUAGUAUUGUAAUGCAUGAAAUAACUGGUGAUCGAGGAGGUUUUAUAUUCAUACUUUGAAAGUUCUAGCUUUGAUAUUGCCUAUUAUUUGUGGCUACAAGAGUUGCUUUAAUUUUUAUUUGGCUGAAUAGGUAGGGUGAUUUAUGAUACAAUAACAUGUCGUAGUAUGUACACUUUCGGAAAUAAGUACUUCGUAAAAUUGUACUAUUGUUAGGUAUUGAGUUUUAUUUGUGAAUUGAAGUAUAUAACUCUUUCGCACAGUGUAUUAAUACCAUGAGAUAUUUUUCCGUUCUAUGAGUUUAUCUACUAAGAUUAAGGACAAAUAAAAUAAGAAAUCAAGGAUAGUUUUGCAUAAUUAUUGUAGUGUAUUUGGUAACAGUGGCAUGGUAUAACUUUGUUUGUUUCCUUGGUUAUAAGUCUUUGCAAAUUAAAUAUAAUGUACUACAAAUGUAUUUAUAAAAAAGUGCAAUUUAUGCAAAAAGGGUGACAAGAACAAACCAAAAUUUUGAGGAAAAAAAAAAACAUAUUACCUAGGCUGAGUGCCAUUUCAAACAUAAGGUGCUCUUGCAGAUAGAAUAACACAAAAACGUCAUUAUUGUUACUUAGUUGAUCAACCAUUAGAAGUUUGUUGAUUGACCGUUGUUUGGGAAGUUCUAGAAUAAGUACCAUCUUGAGCUAACUAUCUUGAACACAAUUUUAUGUUUGAUUAUAUCUUCUUCAGUAUUUCGUGAACUCUAAAUUAUUUUCAUUGUUGACUCUGGUAGAAAUUGAUUAUUCAUCAAUGGGAGAUUUAAAAGAACCCCAUGACUGAGGUAUGUAUUAGGUCUUGAGCACUACCAGCUUACUCAAUAUAUUUAGAUAUAAAGAAUGUGUUUUAUUGUAAUUGUCUUGAAGAGUUUGUACUUGAAUUAAACUAUCUACUCAGUUUCCUUUCGAUAUUUGACUUAUGGAACUUCAGUUUGAUACUUUAUGUGAUAAAUACAGUCAAUAAAUCAAUCUAUCUAUGUCUUGAAACAGAGAAGAAACUUUUCAAUUAAGGUUUGUGAAGAAAAUGAGAAAAGCAAAGUGGAUCACUUUUUUAUAUUUCCCUUUUCGUGUAUUAGAAAAUUUUAUUAUUGACAAAGACCACACUAAGAUAAUGCUGAGAUGACAUAAAAGAAAUAUUAAUAUCAGUCCAUAUUUAUUCUUGCAGUGAUGACAAAAAAUAUAUCAAUGUAUUUACUUCAUAUCCUUAUAUGUUCUUUAUAACGAAUGAACUUUUUGUGUCACUUAAUAGUCAUAUGAUAUUAAUGUAUCUUUUUCUUUUAUAUGAGGGAAAGUAAAAUGCAUUGACCAACUUUUCUGGACAUCAUUUGCAUUUCACAUAAGUUGUGUCAGCAUUAGCUUAUCAAAGAAAACAUAAGGCUUAGCAUUUUUUCGAUUUUUUCGUUAAUUGUUAGGUGGUUAAAUCUUAAUGAUAGGAAGAUCCUAUACUGUUUUGAUAAAAUAUUAUAUUUGAUGUAUCUUUAGAUUGUAGUAACAGUGUCUUGCUAUAAAAGGCCAUAAUUUGACUCUUGAGUAUAGUAUUUUUCGAGUAGUUUAUUUGUGGUGAUCGCACUUAUCUCUUUAUGUCGUGAUAUUUUUCAAUUCUUGCUAUCAUUUAAUAUUUUCUAUCUCUAAAUAUUUGACUUCUUAUUCUCUACUUGGAAUAGGACAGGUUGUCUGAAGAACACAUAGUAGCAGAUGUAUGAAUGCAAUACACAAAAUAUUUGCCAUACUUUAUGUGGCUCUUAGUUGGACUAUGUUCUCUUUUGUUUAUAGUACAAACACGGAUAGCAACUGAUAUAUUUAGUUGAUCACGUAGCAUAAGAUAGUGGGUAGAAAACGAUGAAGAAAUAAGGCGUACUUGAGCUUGAGUUUGAUUUUGUAAGUAUAUUUAAAGGAAGUUGAAGAAAAGGAAAUAUUUAGCUCAAUUUUGAUAAAUCUAGGGAAG
rnacentral:lncRNA from 1 species